rnacentral:rRNA from 1 species
UACGGGGGGGGCAAGCGUUGUUCGGAAUUACUGGGCGUAAAGGGCUCGUAGGCGGGCAAUCAAGUCCGGGGUGAAAUCCUCCAGCUUAACUGGAGAAUAGCCUUGGAUACUGGUGGUCUCGAGGGAGGUAGGGGCAGCUGGAACUUCCGGUGGAGUGGUGAAAUGCGUUGAUAUCGGAAGGAACGCCGGUGGCGAAAGCGAGCUGCUGGACCUCUUCUGACGCUGAGGCACGAAAGCCAGGGGAGCAAACGGG